rnacentral:lncRNA from 1 species
AAAGACUUGAAAAUCAUUUGUUUUUAUGAAAUUUGGACAUAUAUGGAGGUUUUUUUCAUACAAAUUAUACUUUAAUAUUUAUAAAUAUACAAAGAAAGAAUUCAGCAUUGAUAUAUUAUUUCAGGAAUAUGAAGGAGAGGAUAUUUGUACUCUCUGUGCAACUCUGAAGAAUUUAGCUACAGAUUCACACAAAUACAGAGCAAAGAAAGACAGAAAAAUGCAGCGUUCAAGCUUUAGAGAUGUGUUGCGAGCUGUUGAGGUAUGCAGUUGUUUAUAAUAUAAAAAGAAGAUGUGGUAUGAUUGCCAAUGAGAAAACUCUUCACAAGAGACCAAAAUGACACAGAAAUUAACAACUAUAGGUCAUCGUGCAGCCUUCAACAAUGAGCAAAGCCAAUACAGCAUAGUCAGCUAUAAAAGGCCCUGAAAUGACAAUGUAAAACAAAUCAAACGAGAAAACUAACGGCCUUACUUAUG